UUGGGAAGAUGUCAAGUGUUGGUCCAGUCAAGCUUUGACCACCCGUGAAACAUCAAUCCUCUCGUCCUGAAAUAACAUUAUCUCAAAGUUCAGUGAUUAAACUGGACGAUCCGUAAGAUUUGCCGGGUGACAGCGACACAGCAUUAUUUAAUUAUACGUUGAAAUCUAAUUUCAUCCAGCAUGAGAUUCGGCUUACAUAUUAUCAGUCUAUUACUAUUGCUGAUGGUGGUGGCGGCGUUUAGAGUGCCGGUAAGCGUGCUACGGCAAAAGAAAAGACUCAAUGCGCACAUAAUGCGCAAACCAAGAUCGAUCCGGACGGAUCGGCCGGCUCUUUUUUCCGACUUGCAAGCAUAAUCUUUCUCGCUUGGUGACAUGAAUAUUUUAACACGUAACGUUAACAAAAAUCCUUAGAUUAUGCGUAUUAUGUAGUAAUAUUAUUAUAUAUAACGUAACUGUAAUAUUUUAUGAUAACCAAAUAAGUUUUUAUUCAUUUAAAGUAAUCUCAGUAAUUUUUAUUCUACUAUAUUAAGUAUUAUUGAUUAUAUACGUGCACGUUAUAUAACAGUUGCAACAUACAAUGAGGUAAUAUCGCAAUAAAAAUGUCGAAAUGAUAUCCGGUGGAUGCUUUGCUAAAUAAUCGUGUUAUAUCGAGUAGCGUAUUUCUUUCGACGGUAUAUAGAUAAUAAAUUUAAAAUAUAUGUACAUGCGUAUUUAAGCGCGGAUAAUCGAAUAUGUUAUCACGAAACAUUAAUCAAUGAGUGCUAAAGCAACCUAUAGAUUUUCUUUUAACAAAAAAAAAAAGAUACCAUGAUUUAUGAAUAUUUUCUCAACGUUUGUGAAGUCAGAGAGAUGUCUAGCAGUAAGUUCUAUAUCUGCUCGUAAAUCCACACGUUUAGAAUCUGUCAUAAAAAUACGUUCGAAGAUAAAGCGACUCACUUUCGAAACUAGGUAAAUGCCUCGUCAUACGGAGUCAAAGCAACGCCUUGUGCGACAUGAAUAUUUACUACCGGAGGUGAUUUUUGUAAGCUCUGAAGGACUAGCGAGUUCUCAAUGCUUUUCUCGGUGCCUUUCAAAACCGUCGCGUAUCUCGUACAAAUUCUCGUGGCCUAUUUCUGUGCUUGCUUUGAUUUUGCACUUUAUUUUAUUAGUUACUCAAACGUACCGGUACCAUUAUAAAUAAAACAUUCUCAUUUCUCUAUCAUACAUUAAAAACAAAAACUAAAUUAAUCAUACAUCAUACAUUGAAAACGAAAAAAAAUGUUUUCUCAAAUAUUAAUAAAGUUUAAAAUUGCCCGAUUAAUAUUUCGAAUAUUGAUGAUGCAAAUGAGCUCAGAUUAGCUUAAUACUGUUCUGAUCUAGUGUAAAAAUGUCACAAAUCUACUUUAAUAGUAAAUAUUCCUCAAGUAAAGAAAUAGGCCACUGGUUUAGUAUGAAUCAUCUUGUAACAUCAAUGACGUUGCGUUUUACCAUGACGAUAGAGGUAGCCCGUUCCACUUUGAAGUGAACUGCGAAACGACAUUGGUUACGAUCGAAAUAAAUGGUCUCUACGAUAGAAGACGGAGGAGGAACGUUAACGUGAUGGAGGUAGAAUUCGUCGUAGUUUUAUUCUGAUGUUGGGCUCACGUUCAAUCGUGCAGGUGGAAAGGGGGAGGGGGGUUGCAGGAACGUGGGUGGUUAUGGAAGUAGCGGUAAGGCGCUGCAGAUUCUCGGAAAGACGGUUCGAUCUGCCGAUCGCUAAAAGAAUCAAAUACGGGACGAGGUUUCCUUGUGAAAUUUCGUGCUGAUAUCAUGUAUACACUCGUACAUGAACGCAGCGUAUGUAAUUUUUUUGCGCAGCAAGAAUUUAUUUUUUAAUCCUCCGUUUUAUCGAGAUUUUUAUAAAAUUCUGUGUACUCAUAGCGAAGUGAUAAAAAUUUGCGAUAGAUCUAAAUUAUGUAAUAAAUAAAAUACCAUGGUAAUAUAAAAUUGAUAAUAAAUUGUAUUACAUGCGGAAAUUUGUGAGAAAAAAA